rnacentral:rRNA from 1 species
GAUGAACGCUGGCGGCGUGCCUAAUACAUGCAAGUCGAGCGAACGGACGAGAAGCUUGCUUCUCUGAUGUUAGCGGCGGACGGGUGAGUAACACGUGGAUAACCUACCUAUAAGACUGGGAUAACUUCGGGAAACCGGAGCUAAUACCGGAUAAUAUUUUGAACCGCAUGGUUCAAAAGUGAAAGACGGUCUUGCUGUCACUUAUAGAUGGAUCCGCGCUGCAUUAGCUAGUUGGUAAGGUAACGGCUUACCAAGGCAACGAUGCAUAGCCGACCUGAGAGGGUGAUCGGCCACACUGGAACUGAGACACGGUCCAGACUCCUACGGGAGGCAGCAGUAGGGAAUCUUCCGCAAUGGGCGAAAGCCUGACGGAGCAACGCCGCGUGAGUGAUGAAGGUCUUCGGAUCGUAAAACUCUGUUAUUAGGGAAGAACAUAUGUGUAAGUAACUGUGCACAUCUUGACGGUACCUAAUCAGAAAGCCACGGCUAACUACGUGCCAGCAGCCGCGGUAAUACGUAGGUGGCAAGCGUUAUCCGGAAUUAUUGGGCGUAAAGCGCGCGUAGGCGGUUUUUUAAGUCUGAUGUGAAAGCCCACGGCUCAACCGUGGAGGGUCAUUGGAAACUGGAAAACUUGAGUGCAGAAGAGGAAAGUGGAAUUCCAUGUGUAGCGGUGAAAUGCGCAGAGAUAUGGAGGAACACCAGUGGCGAAGGCGACUUUCUGGUCUGUAACUGACGCUGAUGUGCGAAAGCGUGGGGAUCAAACAGGAUUAGAUACCCUGGUAGUCCACGCCGUAAACGAUGAGUGCUAAGUGUUAGGGGGUUUCCGCCCCUUAGUGCUGCAGCUAACGCAUUAAGCACUCCGCCUGGGGAGUACGACCGCAAGGUUGAAACUCAAAGGAAUUGACGGGGACCCGCACAAGCGGUGGAACAUGUGGUUUAAUUCGAAGCAACGCGAAGAACCUUACCAAAUCUUGACAUCCUUUGACAACUCUAGAGAUAGAGCUUUCCCCUUCGGGGGACAAAGUGACAGGUGGUGCAUGGUUGUCGUCAGCUCGUGUCGUGAGAUGUUGGGUUAAGUCCCGCAACGAGCGCAACCCUUAAGCUUAGUUGCCAUCAUUAAGUUGGGCACUCUAAGUUGACUGCCGGUGACAAACCGGAGGAAGGUGGGGAUGACGUCAAAUCAUCAUGCCCCUUAUGAUUUGGGCUACACACGUGCUACAAUGGACAAUACAAAGGGCAGCGAAACCGCGAGGUCAAGCAAAUCCCAUAAAGUUGUUCUCAGUUCGGAUUGUAGUCUGCAACUCGACUACAUGAAGCUGGAAUCGCUAGUAAUCGUAGAUCAGCAUGCUACGGUGAAUACGUUCCCGGGUCU